CUGUAGGCACUGGGGCUCGGGGCAGGUGAGUGCACAGCAUGCUGUGACCUCGCUUGUGGGGAUGGCAGCGUGUGCUCGUUAAUGAGCCUGCUCAUGAGCAUCAGAUCUGAAAUGUGAAGCGACUUAAAUGUGUUUCAUUUCUCUUCAGUGCUGGCAGGCUCGUACAGCUGCUGCGGGACUUGUCAGAGCGGUUUGUAGGGCUCCUCGUGUUGCUGCUACCAGUGAGUACCGCAAGAAGUGAGCGCAAGCUGGUGGGGCCGCUCCGAAGGAAAGGUUACAUCUCUGCUUCUUGGAAGGUGAAGCACUGAAGCAGAGAUUACCUUAACUAGCAGAGCCAAUGCUGCAGGUCAGCGCCAUGAGAGCUCAGCCUCCCUCGUACCCCCGUGGAGCAGCUCUGCGGAUCAGAAAGACUUUCCCCAACCUUGUACAUCACGGUGCCCUGGGUUCCUUCUACCCCAUGGGAAACAACAAACGUGCAAAGAUCAUCCAGCUCUAAGACAGCUCAGCUUGGAUUGCUGCUUAUCUCUGAAAUAGUUGUGGAAAUCUUACAAUGAAUUUGUCCCAUUGUCAUCCAAAACAUCAGUCUGCCCUCAUCCAGCAACAGCAAAGGUCUGACCUGAGGAGGGGGAGUGAGAGAGCGGUUGUGGUGGAGCUCGGCCGCCCACCCGAGUAAAACCCCACAGUGCUUUGUUGCAAUCUCUUAAUGUGCAGCCUUUGAAGAUGUGACUUUAAUGGCGUUGACAUGUAUCAGGUGGGUUUAACACAACUUCUCCAAAUAGCUACAACAUCAGAAAGAGCUGAGGCUCUUAGCAGCCGCACUGCUUCAUACUCAGCUUCUGCUGUACAAAGUCAUAAAUGGCCUUCUGCAUUCUGAGUUAAAUGGGACAUUUUUCUGUAAUUAAAUGAAAUUCUGCUGGCAACUGAGUUUAGAAAAAUUAUAAGCUUUAUUCUUCAGACUAGAAUCACUUAAUGCUUAGACCUUGUCGUUGUUGAUUUAAAGUUGAGAUUUAUUACAGUAACCUGAUAUUUGGCUUCACUGUAUGUUCACUAAUACACAAAUCCACAAAGUUUACACUUUACUGAAAAUUCUGAAUUUUGUCCCCUUUAUUUGUUAUGAGUAGAAGUAGCUGGAUCCUGGUUCCUGAUGGGAAACAGGCUGCAUUCCUGUGUGGAUGGUUUUGUA